CACCAAGCCAGGGAGCAAAUAGAGUUGGGUUGCAUUUGAAAUAAGGCUGAUGCAAAAAAAAAUCUGCAUAAUAGCAUGUAAAAAAAUGUGACGUGAAACUAAAUAUAGUGCGGUGCUGCUUUGCCAACCUCUGGUUAAUCAAAGUUAACUGCAUUAUAAUGUAGUGUGUGUUGUCUCACUGCCUAUCACAUUUUCAUUCUUCCAAACGGUUUCUGUGUUUGUGAAACGUGGCUCUGCAAACGUCAGAAAACAAAAUCCCAGCGGUGCAAUCCUUUGCAUCACUCGCUUUUGUCCUGAUUAAAAACAAAUAGUAGGAAUAAGUUUUAAUUCUUUAAGUGUCACUUUGUGUCUUUUCAGAACAAACCGUGCUGAAAAGGCUGGGAAACACCCAUUGCCAGUGCAUUGGAUAAGGAUGGAUUUGUUUGCCUGGUCUGGAGCAGAGAUAGAAAUUACUUUCAUCCAAAACCCAAUUUCUAUAGAAAGAAAGGAAGUUUUCAAGUACUUGUCGUCCUGCUCUAUUUAAUCAGAAAUACUUUGAGUCUGUAAGAGGAGUGUUGGUGUCUGAGCGUCAGCUGCUCCUACAGGAAAACCAGAAAAGAAUGAUGCUCCAAUGUUUUCCUUCAUUAUUUUUUCAGCUCCUACCUGCCAAGUUCCCUGGCUCCAAUCUGUGACAUGGGGUGUGCACAUACAUCACAGGCAGCGAGGCUGCGGAGCGUCGACGAGAUCAAAUGAAAGUGUAGAAAUGCGGCUGGGAGGCAAAAUGAAAUCAUAUAUAUUCAUUACAUUCAUUUAGUGAUGUUAAGCCUCCCGGUGCCCAUAACACUCUGAACGUGCUGUCACCAUUCACCUAGAGAGAAAGCAGCCACCUCUGCAGACAGCGUGGACGAUGCCCAGAGCAUGGACACAGGAGAGGAGGGGAUGUGGUGGAUGCUGACAGAGAACACUCAUCUCUGCUGUAGCCCCAGAAUGGAGUUAUGCACCCUGGAAACUGGUUUUAAAAGAGAAAACCCAGCAGGUGGGAAGGAAGAGAUCGAACAGGGCACUUUAUCAUUCUUCCAUAAGCAAAUUCUUGGCCACAAUCUUUCCAGCUCCUGGUGCGGAGGCCUAACGUAACAAGACAGCACAGACCGAAAUCUUUCCUGCAUAAUUGUGUGCUUCACUGGCCUGACACCAGGAAUGAAUUUAGCUCACCCGAGGCUCAGCUGGAGAUGGGGUGGCUUUUGAGCAGCUUAUGCUCCGUCCCAGCGCAUCACCCGGCAUUGAUUGAUCGCUUUUUCUGCAGGCUCUGACAAGAGAGGUAUGAAAUUAUCAUUUAAGAAGCUUCUCAGAAAUGCUUUAAG
rnacentral:lncRNA from 1 species